CAACCUUUAGCGCAUGGAGUAUGCAAAGGGAGACGAAAGUUUGUUUGUGUCACGCUGAUUGUGCAUCUGGAUGUUGGUUCUCCAGAAAGAAAACUUGGAACGUUGGAACAUACCAUAAUCAUCAGUGGUCCAGUAUGCUUUGUCUGUAUUGUUACUAUAAUACUCCUUUCAAUGUAGAAACAGAAAUGCAGACUGCAACAGUACAGGCAACAAGUAGAAGUAGAACUUAUAGUUGGACAACCUGUCAAAGGAAACAGCAUUAGAGAUAUGAUAGAUAUGACCACCUCAGGUUCAGGAUCAGACAAUGGAAUGUGAACACAAUUAUGGUUGAUAACUGACUAUCAUGAAAUGGAUCUCUGUUUGACUAUUUGAGUUGGUCCACAGUGGAUCCAAGUACCAUGUACAAAAUGGACUACUCUAUAGCCAAUGGUCUGGCACCUACAUAAGGAAAUUAUAGGAGCUCAAGGUCUGGGACUAGCUGUCCAUUAUGAUCCUACCACAAAUUCUAUGGAUAUCCCUACCAACCCCAGAGUGGGUACAAAAUGAUAUCCUGGCUCCUGAGGAGGUACUAGAUGAAGUCAUGAACAUCAAUCAUUUUGACUCUUUCAAACGUGCAGAUGUAUAUGCUUUUGGCCUUGUCUUAUGGGAAACAGCAUGGCGAUGUAAUAUUGAUGGCUUCUAUGAAGACUUUCAGCUGCCUUAUAGUGAUAUAGUACCAUCAGAUCCGACCAUUGAAGAAUGUGAAAAAGUUGUCUGCAUAAAUAGGCAGAGACCUCCCAU
rnacentral:lncRNA from 1 species